rnacentral:lncRNA from 1 species
UUUAACAUUAAAUUGUAAUAAUUUUCUGAUUGUAACAUAUAUUUAAACAAAUAGCUAAAAUGUAUUCGCAGGCCAUACAAAAUUGCUUUGUGGGCCAGAUGCAGCCCACAGGCCACCAGUUUGAGACUACUGAUAUAAUAUAUGAGUCUAUCUUUGUAUCAUUCAUCAAUCUUGUCAUCUAUCUGCUCAAUCUGUCAUCACAUAGCCAAAUCAGUCAUAUUCCUCUGAUCUUUCUUUUGGUUCUCCCAGAUGUAUUGAUGAAUAGCAUUGCACUUAAAAAAAUGAGUUUGAAAUAUCAUUAUCUUUGCUUUAAAUAAAUUAAGAGAUGUCAAAAUAUUAAAGUUUGCAAUUAUACAUGUAAUUAAGCAAAUCACAUAA